GUGACAGUGUGUGUGUAUCCUUUUUUGACUCGCGAUCGCCGUGCCAAAAUUUCUGAAAAAAUGGAUCAAAUUCGGCUUACUGCAGCUUAUACAUUUUCACUUAUGUAUUUCCUUUUUAAAAUACAGCAUAAAUGUGGAUAUUGUGGGUGGAUCUUUAGCUUCACCACAAAUUUUAUUGAUCAUAAGUGCUUCAAGCAGUACGUUGAAGGAGAAGACCACAUCAGCAUCGAUGAAAACCAUAUCGUAACAAUAAGUAUAAUUUGUUGGCAAGAACCGCUAAUAUAAGAUUAGAAUCCAUGU